ACAUCCAAGUAAAACGAUUUGAAAAUAUUGCCCUUACUGGCCUCAGCCAUGGUCAGGGGCACUGGCAAACAAAACAUGACUCGCUGCUUACACCAGGGGGCACUACUGAGCUCUCAAACAAAAAGUUGAGAGGGAGUUAGUUGCGCAGGUACACGGAUAGAGUCCAUACACACUCACACAUCACUCACUACGUGCGCAGCGAUGAAGACCGCUUGCCGCCUUCUCACCCUGGCCCUCCUCUGCCUUUCUGAAUUCAGUUUGGCUGAACAACCUUCUGGCCAACUGUUGUGUGAAAUUUAAUUACUUUAAAUUUAAAAGGAAGUUGAUGUGGAGCCUAACUGUGCGCAGU